CACGUAGGCACCAAGCGUUGUCCGGAUUUAUUGGGCGUAAAGAGCUCGUAGGCGGUUCAGUAAGUCGGGUGUGAAAACUCAGGGCUCAACCCUGAGCGGCCACCCGAUACUGCUGUGACUUGAGUCUGGUAGGGGAGUGGGGAAUUCCUGGGUGUAGCGGUGAAAUGCGCAGAUAUCAGGAGGAACACCAGUGGCGAAGGCGACUUCCUGGCCUGUUCUUGACGCUGAGGCGCGAAAGCUGGGGGAGCAAACGGG
rnacentral:rRNA from 1 species